rnacentral:misc_RNA from 1 species
UACGGAGGGGGCUAGCGUUGUUAGGAAUUACUGGGCGUAAAACGCACGUAGGCGGACUGGAAAGUUGGGGGUGAAAUCCCGGGGCUCAACCUCGGAACUGCCUUCAAAACUAUCAGACUGGAGUUCGAGAGAGGUGAGUGGAAUUCCGAGUGUAGAGGUGAAAUUCGUAGAUAUUCGGAGGAACACCAGUGGCGAAGGCGGCUCACUGGCUCGAUACUGACGCUGAUGGACGAAAGCGUAGGUAGCGAACAGG